rnacentral:rRNA from 1 species
UACGUAGGGGCCGAGCGUUGUCCGGAGUUAUUGGGCGUAAAGCGCGCGCAGGCGGCUUCGCGCGUCCGACGUGAAAGCCCCCGGCUCAACCGGGGAGGGUCGUUGGGUACGGCGGAGCUUGAGGGCGGUAGAGGUUGGUGGAAUUCCCGGUGUAGUGGUGAAAUGCGUAGAGAUCGGGAGGAACACCUGUGGCGAAGGCGGCCAACUGGGCCGACCCUGACGCUGAGGCGCGAAGGCGUGGGGAGCGAAC